rnacentral:rRNA from 1 species
CAGUCGCCACGGGAAUACGAAGGGGGCUAGCGUUGCUCGGAAUCACUGGGCGUAAAGGGUGCGUAGGCGGGUCUUUAAGUCAGGGGUGAAAUCCUGGAGCUCAACUCCAGAACUGCCUUUGAUACUGAAGAUCUUGAGUUCGGGAGAGGUGAGUGGAACUGCGAGUGUAGAGGUGAAAUUCGUAGAUAUUCGGAAGAACACCAGUGGCGAAGGCGGCCCGCUGGACAUGUAUUGACGCUGAGGUGCGAAAGCGUGGGGAGCAAACAGGAUUAGAUACCCGCGUAGUCCCUGUCUCUUAUAC